rfam:Actinosynnema mirum DSM 43827, complete genome.
GGAUUCGGGUGCCGUGAGGCCUCGGUCCGCUCGGCUAUCGGCCCUGGCGCACCUUCCCCGGCGCCAGGUUCGACGGGCGGGCGGGGACCUGACGACACCCGAUUCGCUUU